CCCCACAGCAAUAGGCAAAGAAACACCUUGUUGGUGGUGUUAUUCUUCUGUCAGUCAGGGGAAGAGCAGAGGGCAGUCUUUUCCUCAUCCUAGCUUGAUGCCUGGCUUGGUGGCCAAAGCUGUCUUAUACUUAGGAGUCAUAA
ensembl:snoRNA LOC120102030 small nucleolar RNA SNORA48